rnacentral:rRNA from 1 species
GUAGGUGGCAAGCGUUGUCCGGAAUUAUUGGGGCGUAAAGCGCGCGCAGGCGGUUCUUUAAGUCUGAUGUGAAAGCCCACGGGCUCAACCGUGGAGGGUCAUUGGAAACUGGAGAACUUGAGUACAGAAGAGGAAAGCGGGAUUCCACGUGUAGCGGUGAAAUGCGUAGAGAUGUGGAGGAACACCAGUGGCGAAGGCGGCUUUCUGGUCUGUAACCGACGCUGAGGCGCGAAAGCGUGGGGAGCAAACAGGAUUAGAUACCCUGGUAGUCCACGCCGUAAACGAUGAGUGCUAAGUGUUAGGGGGUUUCCGCCCCUUAGUGCUGCAGCUAACGCAUUAAGCACUCCGCCUGGGGAGUACGGCCGCAAAGGCUG